GUCUGUAGUCAUACCACCCUAAAUGCACCCGAACUCGUCUGAUCUCAGAACCUAACCAGGGUCAGGCCUGGUUAGUACGUGGAUAGGAGAAAGUUUCAGUUUAGGGCUGGAAAGAUG
rnacentral:rRNA from 1 species